GACGAACGCUGGCGGCGUGCCUAAUACAUGCAAGUCGAGCAGACGGAUGGGAGCUUGCUCCCAGACCGUCAGCGGCGGACGGGUGAGUAACACGUGGGCAACCUGCCUGUAAGACUGGGAUAACUCCGGGAAACCGGGGCUAAUACCGGAUAACUCUUUCCCUCACAUGAGGGAAAGCUGAAAGAUGGCAUCUCGCUAUCACUUACAGAUGGGCCCGCGGCGCAUUAGCUAGUUGGUGAGGUAACGGCUCACCAAGGCGACGAUGCGUAGCCGACCUGAGAGGGUGAUCGGCCACACUGGGACUGAGACACGGCCCAGACUCCUACGGGAGGCAGCAGUAGGGAAUCUUCCGCAAUGGACGAAAGUCUGACGGAGCAACGCCGCGUGAGUGAUGAAGGUUUUCGGAUCGUAAAACUCUGUUGUCAGGGAAGAACAAGUACCGGAGUAACUGCCGGUACCUUGACGGUACCUGACCAGAAAGCCACGGCUAACUACGUG
rnacentral:rRNA from 1 species